UACGGGGGGGGUAAGCGUUGUUCGGAAUUACUGGGCGUAAAGGGCUCGUAGGCGGCCAACUAAGUCAUACGUGAAAUCCCCAGGCUCAACCUGGGAACUGCGUCCGAUACUGGUUGGCUUGAAUCCGGGAGAGGGAUGUGGAAUUCCAGGUGUAGCGGUGAAAUGCGUAGAUAUCUGGAGGAACACCGGUGGCGAAGGCGACAUCCUGGACCGGUAUUGACGCUGAGGCGCGAAAGCCAGGGGAGCAAACGGG
rnacentral:rRNA from 1 species